rnacentral:tRNA from 1 species
GGGCUAGUGGCGGAAUGGUAUACGCGCAACACUUAAAAUGUUGUCCGCUCUGCGGAUGUGGGUUCGACUCCCACCUGGCCCA